rnacentral:misc_RNA from 1 species
AAGUCGUAACAAGGUUUCCGUAGGUGAACCUGCGGAAGGAUCAUUAACACGUAUCCACGUUAAACCAACCGUGCACUUUCAUUCAUGCGUUGUUUUUGGACUUGAGGUGAGUUCGCUUACCGAGAGUUCGAAGACGAUUCGUUUCGGCUCGGCACGUGUCGUGAAGUUGGGUGUCUGACAGUAAUUCAUUUUUACGUACGUAACUCGACAGUUUCGACGUGGGGCUGGAAAACUCGAUUUAUUUCAAUGACGAUCCGUUCUGGGCCGGAUCGAAUUUGUGGUAAUGAGAGGCUUCUGGAACUCUGCGGGGUAACUGUCUUGAGUUGCACAUCCAUUUCAAACCCCUUAGAAAAAUUGACAUCCGAGACCUCAGGGUCAAACCGAGGCUCGAGCAACCGAACAACUGUUAACAAUGGAUAUCUUGGUUCUC